rnacentral:misc_RNA from 1 species
UCCGGUUUGGCACCGGCAGUCUCCCCAGAGUUCCCGGCAUGACCCGCUGGCAACUGAGGACAAGGGUUGCGCUCGUUGCGCCACUUAAGGCAACACCUCACGGCACGAGCUGACGACAGCCAUGCACCACCUGUGAAGGUGCCCCGAAGGGAGACCGUGUUUCCACGGCUGUCACCUACAUGUCAAGCCCAGGUAAGGUUCUUCGCGUUGCGUCGAAUUAAACCUCAUACUCCACCGCUUGUGCAGGCCCCCGUCAAUUUCUUUGAGUUUUAAUCUUGCGACCGUACUUCCCAGGCGGCAUAUUUAUCGCGUUGGCUACGCCACAAAAGGGGUCGAUUCCUUUUACAGCAAAUAUGCACCGUUUACAGCUAGGACUAC